ensembl:lncRNA novel transcript
GGGGUCUCUAGUAACCCACCUGGUCUGACACUGAGGAAACACCUACAGGCUGCUGAUCCCACAGUGAGGGGUGUGUGCCACCUGGGGUAUGGGCGCUCGUGAAUGAGGGUCCCUGCUGAUCCCACAGUGAGGGGUGUUUCCUGCCUGGGGUAUGGGAACUUGUGAGUGGGGACCCCUGCUGCACUCUGUCCCUGUUGGUGCUCGCAGCUAUGGGUGUGGGCUGGCACAGACAGGACCGAGCCCUCCAGGGGCUUCCAGGGUUCUUGUAGGGCAGGAGGGGAAGGGUGUGGUGGGGGGCUUGGAGGGGUCUUGCCCUCAUCCCCUGCCCUGUUACUGGGGUGAGUCCAGCACCUGCCCUGGGGCCCAGCUGGCCUGUUUUUAGAAGCUUCUUAGAGAAGGAAGAGGAGAAGGAGAAGGAAGGCCUGGGGAGCAGGGAUGGAGGGUCCUGGGCACUCCCCACUAUUUACUGUCUUAGAUGGUGACUCAGGAGGGGACCUGGUGCUAGAGACCACCUUGGGGUCAGUGGUCAUAGUGCAUCUUUCUGAGCUCAGCCAUGGAGGCCUCAAAGUGCUUCACAAUCACAUCAUCGUCCAUAGCCCAGGUAUGGGACAGUGCAUCUUAGGAAAGCUCCCACAGGACAAACAGGAGAGCUUCAGGAGAGGGUCUAGGUUUGGGGCUGGGCAUCAGGCCAGGAGGGGUCUCCUGGGAGGGGUCUGUGACUUCACCUUAUUUCCGCCAUGGGCACCUCACACUAGGCAGUGCUGGGUCCUUUCUAGAUACCCCUGGGGUCCAGCUCUGCACAGGAGGCCACUAAUGGGGGAAGUUCCAGUCAGGGAAGAGCUUGCCACACUCCUGCCUUUCAUCUGAGUUGUGUCAGGGGUAGGUUCGGUUUCCAGGAGGACUCAUGGUGCCCUGUCCAGUCCACCAGGCCUGGCUUGGUUUGGCCGUCCCUCUGGGUUAAAGCAGAGGGUCCUGUGGACAGUGUGAGCACUGCCUUCGGGCCAGGUUUGGUGUGCUUGUGUGCUUCCCCAGCACCCUUGGGCACAUGGGGACAGGGUUCUGUGCACUUUCAAUGCCGCAUGUGCCCUGGCUAUGAGCAUGCACUUGCCCUGCAGAAGGCAGAUGUACCAGAGCCUGAGGAUGAGCUUGUGAUGAGCUUGACGUAGGGGUUUGUGGGAACAGCAGGCAUGGGAGGACCUGGCCCUUCACGGUGGAGGGCUGGUGGCCUGAGCAGGGCCUACUGGGGCCUCAGUCUGUGGUGCUGGGGGCCCCCUCUGCAUGGGAUGAGACCUCCCCCAGGAGGCUGGAUCAGAUAAGGUCCUGCAGCUCCUUAUGGGGGUGUUCUCAUAUCCAUCAAAUGUGACCCCUGAAAGAGGGGGCUCCCUGAGUGCUCUCCCAAGAUGAGUCCUGGCCCAGUCUGCCCAGGAUGCUGGCCCUGAGUCCCAGCCCCAGCCGUGUGAUGCCCCCUCUCAGGCAGGGCAUGGUUUGUGUGCCCUGCAGGGAUCUGCCUCUGCCUCCUGUGCAGAGGAGGGGAGCUGGGUCCUUCUGGAGGAGCCAGACUCCUGGGCAGGGUCCCUGGACUGGGUCUCCUGUGCACACUUGUCCCAUCAAGCAAGCACUGUAGGAGUCAGUUUAAGGUGGCAAUCUGGGUGCACAACAUUUGCUUGUCUUCAAGGAAGGAGCAGAGGUGUUCAGAAUCCCCUGGACUGCCCUGAAAACCUCACUCUUCCAGGCCCCUCUGCAGACCCUUCCCAAGGCCAGAUCUCUAGGCAGUAGGCUGGGCUGUCACCCUCUUCUCUGAGACCCUACCCCUGUCCUGAGACCUCCCCACUGCCCCUCAGAUGCCCCAUCCCUGCGGAUUGCCCACCUCCCCUGGCACCCUCCAUGCCCCACACGCCUUACUUGAUGCUGCAGCGCUCUCUGAACAUGGCAUGGCUUGUGAAGGUGUGGCUCACAUCUAGGUCAUUCUGGUGCAUGUUCAGAGGACAUCUUGGCCUGCUCCAUUUUCUAUAGAGCAGGGCCAAGCCUCAGAACAGACACAAGAGUCACUGUCAAAACUGCUGUCAUAAAACAGACAUUCUGGAAGGGAAGGAGUCUUUUUCUGCAGAUACUUCAUUUCCAAAGCCAGGAAAGUCAUCAGCACACAGCUCACCUGUGUUGCCCAUGCCACUGUCUGCCCAGGAUGUGUGACUGACCCCUUCCGCCCCUUUGGGGUUGACUUUCCCUCCAUCUGGGUAGCUGGGCUUCUGACACAGUCUGGCCUAUGCAUCCUGCUCUAGCUGGGAGUGGAAGGGCCAGACCUGGUGUUUCCCUGGGUUCUUGGCCUUUGUCUUCUCGACAUUCAGUAGGAGUGACCGUGCUGGGCCCCAGACCUCUGUGAGGAUUCCUUUUUAGACCCAAUGAGACAUUUGUGGACAGAAGAUGCUCUGGUGAGACAGACCUUAGGGUGACUCUAAAGGGGAUCUGAGCCUAAGGAUUCUGGAAGUUUCCAGUCUUUGGCUCCACAGUUCCUCAGGAGAGGUUCAGUCUGCCUAGGACUGGGCCUCCCUUUUCACGAAGAGUGGGCAAGAGCUCAGGUUGUGAACUCUGAUCUGGAUUUAUUCCUUCCUAUGGGAUGUCCAGAAGGUGUUCCUGUUCCUGGCUUAGAAGCAGACCAUGCCAAGGCAUCAGAUUCCUCCCAGCAAGGUGAUGCUUGCAGGGAUGGGCAGGAGGGCUAGGGACCAGGCCUGUUGUCCUUUCAGUGAGGAAAGUGUGUCCUGCCCUGUCUGAGAGGCAGGCAGCACCAGGAGGCAAAAAUGGGCUCCUGUCCUAAACCCUGAAGAGCAGUCAUGGGGGACCCUCACUCACAGCUGUGCCUUCUUGCUGUUCCUAGAUUUAUUCCAGUUAAGCAUUUAUAGGCAUUUAUCUGUGUGUCUGAUGCCCUGACGUUUUUGCUGUAGGUAAGAAGUGAUGGAGUGAGCUGAGCUGCCAGGCUUCCUGGAGUGAUUCUUGGAUGCUGGGUCACGUGGUUAGGGGCCCUGAUGGGACUGAACUGGAAGGAACCAGAAUAGGACAGAACCAAGCCCCUGAUUAGUGGGCACUGGUGGCCUGGCCUCAUGACCACAGGACACACUGUUCCCAGGGCACAGACACCCUGGGCUUUGGUUGGGUCUUGGCCUCCAGGUAGGGCCCUGUUGGGCAGCGGGCAGCAACUCCUGAGACACUACUGUGAUUCUUGGUGGUGGCUGUGGUAAAAAACCUGCAGGGCUAGAGUUUGGGGUGAGAUUCAGCAGUAACUGUGGCCUCUCCUAGUGACAGUAUGUCACUCCCACUCCCAGCACGCAUGCCCACAGGCCACGGCCUCCACAUCACAAACCCCCCACCAAGUUGCCCAUCUAUGGAGCAGCUCCCAUACGGCAGGGUCAGGCUCUUACCUCCACCUCCAGGGCACAGACAGGGGGAGCUCUGUCUCACUGUAAGGCAAUGAGGAGAGUUGAGGGCCCAGACCAGGCUAGGGGCCAUCCCCUUUCCCGAGCAGGCCUCAGGGAAGGACCAGCCCCAUUCCCAUCUGACCUAGGUCUUAGCCCAGGAGCCUGCAUAGGGAAGAAAGGACAGACAGGGCCUCCUUACUGGCUGACACUCAGGAGGGGCUGGGGCAAGAGAGCAGAGGGAGCGCAGGGCCAGGCAGGGGCUGCUGAGGAUCCAUGGGAGCUCAGGGUGCACAAGGGGGCUGCCCUUCCUGGGCUGCAGGCAGCAUCCCCUAUGGGAGCUGAGAAAGUCCAAUCCUGAGAUGGGACAGUGCUGCCCAGGGGUGUGUGGCUGGGCCCUGACAACAGUCUCCCCAAAAGUGACCACAUCACCAGGCUCAGUUCCAGGAAGGCUGAGAAGUGCCCAGUACACUGAGGAUGCACCUCAGUUACAUAAAAUAAAUGAAACUGGAGUACUAACGUACAGUUUAAAGGUUAUAGUUACUAUUUUUAUAUGAUAUACUAGUAAUUUUUGAAUAGGGUAAACUUUAGGUGUUUUGACACCAAAAGAAAACUACAUGAGUUCAUGCAUGUGUUAAAUUGCUUUACUGUAGUAAUCAUUUACAUGUAUAUGUAUAUAUGAAUAUAAUUAUGGGCUCAUUAAAUUUAAAUAUUAUAAAUAGGUGACAAAGAAUAAAGUUAACUGGAAAACUGUG